AUACGUAGGGGGCGAGCGUUGUCCGGAAUGAUUGGGCGUAAAGGGCGCGUAGGCGGCCUGUUAAGUCUGGAGUGAAAGUCCUGUUUUCAAGAUGGGAAUUGCUUUGGAUACUGAUGGGCUUGAGUGCAGGAGAGGUUAUCGGAAUUCCCGGUGUAGCGGUGAAAUGCGUAGAGAUCGGGAGGAACACCAGUGGCGAAGGCGGGUAACCGGACUGCAACUGACGCUGAGGCGCGAAAGUGUGGGGAGCAAACAGGAUUAGAUACCCUGGUAGUCCACACUGUAAACGAUGAAUGCUAGGUGUAAGAGGUAUCGACCCCUUUUGUGCCGGAGUUAACACAAUAAGCAUUCCGCCUGGGGAGUACGGCCGCAAGGUUGAAACUCAAAUGAAUUGACGGGG
rnacentral:rRNA from 1 species